CCUGGCGGCGAUAGCGCGGUGGUCCCACCUGACUCCAUGCCAAACUCAGCAGUAAAACGCUGUAGCGCCGAUAGUAGGUGUGGGGCACCCCCAUGUAAGAGCGGGAUACUGCCAGAC
rnacentral:rRNA from 1 species